GUUCUUUUGUAUUUAUUACACAUUAAAAGUUCAAUUAUUUUUUUAAUUGACAUGACAAAUGUGACUAUUUGCUGUUCAGUCAUAAAUUACCUUUUAUAUUCAUUUAACAAUGGAAAACGCAUGAUAAAAGAGCCGUCUCAGCAUUAUAAUGUGAUAGUGUAGUAGUUAUGGUGUCAUCAGGAUGCAGGUACUGCUAUCAAAUUUUCAAGCGUUUCGACCAGUGGCACCUGGUAAAAUUUAAAGAUGAUAGGGUGCCGACUCUGUCUUGAUGGGUUUAGCCCACUUAAAAUCCUUUACUCAACCCUUGAUCCAAUGAGACAUCCAACACCAUAAACCUAUAGAUACACAUAUUUGGAAACAACAACCUCUUUAGAGGGACACUAAAGGCGCCCAGACCACUUCAUCUCAAUCUAAUGGUCUGGGUUCAGUGCCCCUGUCAUUUUUAGCCCUGCAAUGAAAACCAUUGCUGUUUUGAAGAAAUGGCAAUGUUUUUGUUGCAGUGGUAAAACACCUCUACCUGUCAGCCGCUAAGUAAUUGUGCUUCUACCGCAAUGACUGAGUUUGACUUGUUCAUGUGACAUUUGAUGAGUAAAUUGAACGUCAUCGAAUGCUGCUCAUAGAUAAUCAUUGGAUGCGUGCACAUGUGCUUCCCACCCCAAGUACUUCUCUGUGAGAAGCAUUAGUAUCGAUGGAAAGGCAAUGAAGCAACGUCUGUUGGAUGACGUUGCAGGAAGAGGAGCAUGGGAUAGCAAUGAGUCUCGGCGCUGGAAAAAAAAAAGGUAAGUAAAAUGCUUUUUCCCCCUAUUUUUUUAUUGCCAUUGGAGACCCUGAGGCUAAAUAGGGACUAAAACAGGUUUUUAUUCUUAACGCUCUAUUGUUCCUUUAAAGAGGUCUGAUUCCACCUCCGAGGCUGUUACCAAUGACAGCCAUAAAAUACAUAACAAAAUGUAGACUUGUCCUGUAGUGCCCAGUAUAUGAUAAUCCCAUGUUUAGCCUAUGUGUAGAGUUUUAUACCCAGAAAAUGGGAGUUUAAAAAUAAAAUAAAAAAAUCUCUCAACACCAUAACAUGAACAAAGUAUCAGCUGACUGGAGCAGUGGUAAUGUCACUGUCUUAGAACAGGGAAACCCAGAUUUGAACCCCUGUCAGAUCUUACCAGUAAGAGUUUCUGGACAAGACAUUUAGUGAUCUAUAUCAAUCUACAUCAAAUGCUCAUAGACUGUAAUGAGCAG